rnacentral:RNase_MRP_RNA from 14 species
CGCAGCAGCACAGACAUGCCGUGAGCGCUCACGACGGGAGUGCCAACAGAACGGGGCUCACUCUCCUG